rnacentral:rRNA from 1 species
CGGAGGAAAAGAAACUAACAAGGAUUCCCCUAGUAACGGCGAGUGAAGAGGGAAGAGCCCAAGAUUGAAAGCUGGCGUCUUCGGCGUCCGCAUUGUAAUCUCAAGAAGUGUUUUCCGCUUCGGACCAUGCCUAAGUCCCUUGGAAAAGGGCAUCAUAGAGGGUGAUAAUCCCGUACAUGGCAUGGAGCGCCCGAAGCUUUGUGAUACGCUUUCUAAGAGUCGAGUUGUUUGGGAAUGCAGCUCAAAAUGGGUGGUAAAUGCCAUCUAAGGCUAAAUAUUGGGGAGAGACCGAUAGCGAACAAGUACAGUGAUGGAAAGAUGAAAAGAACUUUGAAAAGAGAGUUAAACAGUACGUGAAAUUGCCAAAAGGGAAGGGUAGGAGGUCAGAGAUGCGGCCUGGGAUUCAGCCUUGCUUUUGCUUGGUGUUUUUCCCAGAUUGCAGGCCAACGUCGGUUUUGGGCACUGGAGAAGGGUAGGAGGAACGUGGCACCUCUCGGGGUGUGUUAUAGCCUCCUACUGGAUACAGCGACCGAGACCGAGGACAGCAGCGUACUCGCAAGAGCGGGCCUUCGGGCACC